rnacentral:rRNA from 1 species
UACGGAGGGUGCAAGCGUUGUUCGGAAUUACUGGGCGUAAAGCGUGCGCAGGCGGUUUUGUAAGUCUGAUGUGAAAUCCCCGGGCUCAACCUGGGAAUUGCAUUGGAGACUGCAAAGCUAGAAUCUGGCAGAGGGGGGUAGAAUUCCACGUGUAGCAGUGAAAUGCGUAGAGAUGUGGAGGAACACCGAUGGCGAAGGCAGCCCCCUGGGUCAAGAUUGACGCUCAUGCACGAAAGCGUGGGGAGCAAACAGG